UCCGUAGGUGGAUAAUUAAGUCAGAGGUGAAAUCCUGCAGCUCAACUGUAGAAUUGCCUUUGAUACUGGUUAUCUUGAAUUAUCGUGAAGUGGUUAGAAUAUGUAGUGUAGCGGUGAAAUGCAUAGAUAUUACAUAGAAUACCAAUUGCGAAGGCAGAUCACUAACAAUAUAUUGACACUGAUGGACGAAAGCGUGGGGAGCGAACAGGAUUAGAUACCCUGGUAGUCC
rnacentral:rRNA from 1 species